GAGCUUGCUCUGUGGGAUCAGUGGCGAACGGGUGAGUAACACGUGAGCAACCUGCCCCUGACUCUGGGAUAAGCGCUGGAAACGGCGUCUAAUACUGGAUAUGUGACGUGACCGCAUGGUCUGCGUUUGGAAAGAUUUUUCGGUUGGGGAUGGGCUCGCGGCCUAUCAGCUUGUUGGUGAGGUAAUGGCUCACCAAGGCGUCGACGGGUAGCCGGCCUGAGAGGGUGACCGGCCACACUGGGACUGAGACACGGCCCAGACUCCUACGGGAGGCAGCAGUGGGGAAUAUUGCACAAUGGGCGCAAGCCUGAUGCAGCAACGCCGCGUGAGGGAUGACGGCCUUCGGGUUGUAAACCUCUUUUAGCAGGGAAGAAGCGAAAGUGACGGUACCUGCAGAAAAAGCGCCGGCUAACUACGUGCCAGCAGCCGCGGUAAUACGUAGGGCGCAAGCGUUAUCCGGAAUUAUUGGGCGUAAAGAGCUCGUAGGCGGUUUGUCGCGUCUGCUGUGAAAUCCCGAGGCUCAACCUCGGGCCUGCAGUGGGUACGGGCAGACUAGAGUGCGGUAGGGGAGAUUGGAAUUCCUGGUGUAGCGGUGGAAUGCGCAGAUAUCAGGAGGAACACCGAUGGCGAAGGCAGAUCUCUGGGCCGUAACUGACGCUGAGGAGCGAAAGGGUGGGGAGCAAACAGGCUUAGAUACCCUGGUAGUCCACCCCGUAAACGUUGGGAACUANUUGUGGGGUCCAUUCCAC
rnacentral:rRNA from 1 species